rnacentral:misc_RNA from 1 species
UUCGAUCAUGGCUCAGAUUGAACGUUAUGGAUGCUUUACAUGCAAGUCGAACGGCAGCACGGACUUCGGUCUGGUAGCGAGUGGCGAACGGGUGAGUAAUGUAUCGGAACGUGCCUAGUAGUGGAUAACUGCUGAAAAGGUAGCUGUUAUCAUCGCGUACAAUAGCCUUUUCUGGGAAAGCGGGGACCUUUCGGCCUCGCACUCAUUAGAGCGGCCGACACGGAUUGAAGAAGUUGGUGGGGUAACGGUCACCAUGACGAUCCAGUUGGUUUGAGAGACGCACUCAGCCAUUACUUGGGACUGAGACACGCCCAGACUCACGGGAGGCAGCAGUGGGGAAUUUUGGACAAUGGGGGAAACCCUGAUCCAGCCAUCCCCGCGUGCGAUGAAGGCCUUCGGGUUGUGUAAAAGCACUUUUUGGCAGGAAAGAAAACGGCAUCGGAUAAUACCCCGUGCAACUGACGGUACUGAAUAAGCACCACACCACAGCCAGCAGCCGCGGUAAUAUGUAGGCGCAAGUGUUAAUCGAAUUACUGGGCGUAAAGGUGCGCAGGCGGUUGGAAAGAAAGAUGUGAAAUCCCAGAGCUUACCCUUGAACUGCAUUUUUAACUUACCGAGCGAGUGUGUCAGAGGAGGUGAAUUCGCGUGUAGCAGUGAAAUGCGUAGGAUAUGUGAGGAACACCGAUGGCGAAGGCAAGUGCAGCCUCCCGGGACAACACCUGACGCUCAUGCACGAGCGUGGGGAGCAAACAGGAUUAGAUACCCUGGUAGUCCACGCCUCAAACGAUGUCAACUAGCCAAGUUGGGGCUUUGGGCUGCAGCGCAGUUAACGCGUGAAGUUGACCGCCUGGAGCACGGUCAAAGAUUAAACUCAAAGGAAUUGACGCCGGGAUCAGAACAGCGGAUGAUGUGGAUUAAUUCGAUGCAACGUGAAAAAACCUUACCUUACCCCUUGACAUGUCUGGAAUCCUGAAGAGAUUUGGAGUGCUUCGUAAGAGAACUGGAACUGAACAGGUGUUGCAUGGCUGUCGUCAGCCGUCGAGAUGCUGGGUUAAGUCCCGCAACGAGCAACCCUUGUCAUUAGUUGCCAUGAAAGGGCACUCCACGAGAUCGCCGGCAGACAAACCGGAUAGCGGUGGAUGACGUCAAGUCCUCGCGGCUCUGCGGUGGCUUCACACGUCAUAACAAGCCGACAGAGGUCGCCAACCGCGAGGGGGAGCCGAUCCCAGAAACCUGAUCAACUGAUCGCAGUCUGCAACGACAUGACUGCGUGGAAGUCGGAAUCGCCAGCAAUCGCGGAUCAUGUUGCGGUGAUUACGUUCCCGGUCUUGUACACCGCCCGUCACAAUCUAUGGGAGUGGUUUUACCAGAAGUAGUUAGCCUAACAAGUGAGGGCGAUUACCACGCAGAUUCAUGACUGGGGUGAAGCGUCGCAACAAUGGGAAAAUAAUGUACACCCGAUGCCCUAUACAAGCAUCCCAACACUUCUACCCUACGGGGGCAGCAGUGGGGAAUUCGCGCAAUGGAAGAGUCUUCGAUGGAAGCAGGCGUUAUGAAUGAUGAAGGUCUUAGAUUGUAAAAUUCUUCACCGGGGACGAUAAUGACGGUACCCGGAGAAGAAGCUCCCGGCUAACUUCUGUGCCAGCAGCCGCGACAUGAAGGGGGCUAUGUUGCUCGAAUUACUGGGCGUAAAGAUGGAAGGUGAUAUUUGCGUCAGGUAGAACCUGGGCUCAAUAACUCGGAAUUGCCUUUGAUACUGGGUGUCUUGAGUACGAGAGAGGCAUGUGGAACUCCGAGUGUAGAGGUGAAAUUCGUAGAUAUUCGGGAAGAACACCAGCAGAAGGCGACAUACUGGCUCAUUACUGACGCUGAGACUCGAAAGCGUGGGGAGCAAACAGGAUUAGAUAAUUCCCGUAGU